rnacentral:rRNA from 1 species
UACGUAGGGACCAAGCGUUGUUCGGAUUUACUGGGCGUAAAGGGCUCGUAGGCGGCCAACUAAGUCGGAUGUGAAAUCCCCAAGCUUAACUUGGGAACUGCAUCCGAUACUGGAUGGCUUGAAUCCGGGAGAGGGAUGCAGAAUUCCAGGUGUAGCGGUGAAAUGCGUAGAUAUCUGGAGGAAUACCGGUGGCGAAGGCGGCAUCCUGGACCGGCAUUGACGCUGAGGAGCGAAAGCUAGGGGAGCAAACGGG